rnacentral:lncRNA from 1 species
AUGCCAAAAGGAAUGAAGGCUAAGUGGAAGAAGAUGGCCCCCUCUCCUGCUAUUGUGAGGAAGCAGGAGGCGAAGAAGGUGAUGAAUCCCGUUUGAGAAAAGGCCUAAGAAUUUUGGCACUGAACAGGACAUCCAGCCCUAAAGGGACCUCACCCACUUUGUCAGAUGGCCCUGCUAUAUCAGGUUGCAGCAGCAAGGAUCUAUAUAUCUUCUAAAAGCAGCUGAAAGUGCCUCCUGCAAAUAACCAGUUUACCUAGGCCUUGGACUGCCAAAUAGCUACACAACUGCUUAAGCUGGCCUAUAAGGACAGACCAGAGACAAAGCAAGAAGAUCAUUGGUCCAGACUGAGAAGAAAGUUGCCAGAGGGAUGUCUCCACUAAGGCCUUUGAGCAGGGAUUAAUGCUGUCACCACCUUGGUGGAGAACAAGAAAGCUCAGCUGGUGGUGACUGCACGUGACAAUGGAUCUCAUAGAGCUAGCUGUCUUCCUGCCUGCCCUGCAUCAUAAAAUACAAAGGGAAGAGAAGACUGGGAUGUCUAGUCCACAGGAAGACUUGCACCACUGUCGCCUUCACACAGAUUAACUUGGCAGACAAAGGAGCUUUGGCUAAGCUGGUGGAAGCCAUCAGAACCAAUGACAAUGACAGACAGGAUGAGAUCCACUGUCACUAGGGAGGCAAUAUCCUGGGUCCAAAAUCUCUGGCUCUCAUUGCCAAGCUGGAAAAGGCAAAGGCUUAAGAA